rnacentral:lncRNA from 1 species
AUGUUUUAUACUCAUAGUCCCCAUAAAGGAGACACUUCUGCAGUAGCUGAAGGCAUACAUGUCGAUUCUGCAACACCGUUAAUUUGGACCAUAUUUACCCUGAAAGCAGUGUUGGCUCUCCUGGCUGCCUCUCUGUUCGCCCACACACCACAGCCGAGCCACCAACCACCAUCUUUUACUCCAAAGCUGUCGCCAUGGAAACGGGGCCGCCGCUCCUGGCACAGCAGCCCCCCUUUUUUUCCAGUGCUGAUGACAUCGUAGUAGCAACAAUGAAAGGUGGCAGCUGUGGCUCUGGAGGAUGAGCGGGUCAUCAACCAAACUUCUCAGGUCUGCAUGUUGACGUAUCCUUGGGCAAGAUACUGAACCCUGGGUUGCCUCCAUGCAUCCAUUGGUGAGUGAGUGCGUCUAUGAAUAUUAGACAGUAUGUUACGGUAUAGGAAAAAAAGGUCUUGUAUGAUUGGGUGAAUGAGUCUUGUAUUUAAAAGUGCCUUGAGUGCUCAGCCUGAACAGAAAAGCACUGUAUCCAUUUAUAAUUUUACCAACAAUCAACAUUUCCUGUACUGCUCUUACCUGAAACUGGUUUUGCUGUUUGCAUGAAAAGAUGUCUCAUGUUGGGGCAUUAAAUAUGAGGUUACCAUUGCAAGGUAGUUUAUGGAAGCCAUAAACUACCUUGCAGGGCUAAAAAAAAAAAAAAGGAUCCAUAACUCGAAAUUUCGAGUUAUUUUCUCAAAAUUUCAUCUUAUUUUCUCAAAAUACGACUUAUUAACUUGAAAUUUCGACUUAUUAUCUUGAAAUUUUGAGAAAAGCACUGCCAAUCAGUAAUCUACGUGAAUGAUGUCAUUUCCUUGUUACCUGAAGCCCUCAGGUACAAAUGCUACAGCUAAGCUACCGCUAUUACAUCCAGUCAUGAAUGCACAGAUUGCUGAGUAUUUUCAGCGUGGCUUAAAAAAUGAUGAAAUCCUUGUGUUUUUAGCUGAAUCACAU